rnacentral:lncRNA from 13 species
UUUUGAUUAAUAAUUUUAUCUUCUUAUUUAUUAUUUCUUUGUUCAGGCUUUCAAUUUAUUCUUGAUUCAGUUUUAGGAUGUUUUACAUUUCUAGAAAUUUAUCCAUCCAUUCUAUCUUAUCCAAUUGUUUGAGAUAAAAUUGUUCCCAAUAGCCCCUUCUGAUCUUUAUUAUAUUUGAGGCAUCUGUUGUAAUGUAUUCUCUUUCAUUUGUUUUUAUUUCCUUGUGCUUUCUUUCUUUGAUUAUUAAUCUAAUUAAGAAUGUCAGGAGAGGAUCCAAGAUGGCUGAAUAGGACCAGUUCCGGAGUGCAGUUCCCAGCAAGAACGACGGCAGAAGGUGGUUAUUGCUAUAAACAUCCUUCCUAGGAUCACUUUUGCUGUGCCUCAUAUAUUUUGGCUCAUAGGCAGAAGGAACUUGACUUAUCUCAGAUGAGACUUUGGACUAUGGACAUUUAAGUUAAUGACAGAAUGAGCUGUCACAGCUCUUUGGCCAAUAUUGAUUCUCCCUUCCACGACAUGCCAAAUGCUGAUUAUCCUGUAGGAUGUGCCUAUAUACUUCAAGAGGCAUAUUUUGAGAUGGCGUUAGCAGAUAUUCUGUUCUUCCCUCAUAACCACGGAGUUUAGUCAUAAAACAACUGCAUUUGGAAAAACAAGUGAUAAACAGAUUUACCUCAAGUAAAAGUCAAUGAACAGAACAAAGAAGAGCUAACUCAGGCACAUGAAUGUGGGCAUGGUUUAGCAGCAUCUAUCAAAAUGACUUAGCAUGCAACCCAUGAGGAACAUUUGUCUAGCUGGCUCCCAGUCUUUUCUUACUAACUGAACUUCACAUCAGUCUCUCUCCUUAAUUGCUGGAUUUACUCUUUAUAUCCCAAUUCACAAUAUUCCUGGAGUUCGGGUAUGUUAUUUUCUGUAGCUUACCUGGAUUCUGCUUCUAAGUUGUUGAUAAAGUUGGAUGCUGGUUGUAUUCAAGGACCACAGGUACUAGAAAACAAGCAAACCAGGGAUAGCAUUUUGAGAUACCAAAACAAUGUGAUGUAAUAAUAUUGUAACAUUUGUGCAUUAUAUAUGUUUGUUUUUAAAGUGUAAUCAUAAUUUUAACAUGAUAUAUUUGGUGGCAG